CUCACUUGCACUGCCCAGCUCUGCAGGGUCAAAGGUCACAUCUAGGAUUCCAGAACAUUCUCUCAGGUGUUCAGAGGCUUCAAAGAGCAGAGAGGACUCGGACAGUGCAAGGCUGUUCAUACGCGCUACUACUAUGAGACACUGCACAGUCACAUGCACAUUACAUCAUAUGGACGCUCUUGCUGGGUUACUGGACACACAGCCAUGGAUGAAAGCAAUGCAACUAGGAAUAAAAGCUGGAGGCAUCAAACACACUGAAAAACCAGCGCUUGAAAGAGACAAGCUUCUGAAGAGACACAACUACCCAUUGUGAACUGGGUGAUGUUCUGAAGGAUGCCAACACACAUGGACACACACACACACACACACGUGAUGAACUACAGGAACACACCCAGUGCUGUGAAUAUAACAGAAGUAAGUCUACACACACACACACACACAUCUGGCUGUGGAGUAUCCUGUGUCGGCACGUCUGGGUGCAGAAAUCCACAGAGGGUAGAAGGCACUCACUGGGACUACAGUUGAAAUAACGUACUGAGAGGAAGAGGAAUAGCCAAAAUGGGAGUAAAGGAAAAUCAUCCCUGUGAAAGGACCAGCAGGGGGCAGUACUGAGCUUAACACACUUACACAGGCUGCUCUAGCGGCCAACAUGCCUGGGCAUUGCUGUAUAAUUUCAUUUAAUGUAUUUAAUAUAAUGAUUAUACAUUUAUUUACUUAGCUUACAAGACUCAUAGUAAGAGGCUUCUCAAAUAACAUGUA